ensembl:lncRNA
CUAAUUGCAAGUUUUGUCAUCUCUUCUCUGCUGGGCAUUUCAGGGUUAUAAUUGAAGAUCUGGCCUUGGAUUUGAAGCCUAUAGAGCAGUUUCAGAAAUGGAGGGACAUACUCUUCUACCUGCAACUGAGUCUGAAGGAUGUGCUGACCCCAGAUGGACCUGUGAGCCACCAGGAACAACAUGCAGAGUGGCGCAGGCUGGCCAAGAGCCUUGCCCUCCAGCUCAGCCCAGAGCAGCACUGCAACAGGGAUGACGAGGAAGAAACAGAGUCCCUGGACUCCAGCAUCAGGGACCUGCUGUCCCGGGAUGACCCUGUGGGACAGGAGGGGCAGAGCCACCGAGACCAUGCUGAGUGGCGCAAGAUGGCUGAGCGCCUCGCCCUGCAGCUCUGCCCAGG